UACUAGGUUUGAUUGCCACGGUCCACUGCGCGUGUGACAUAACUGCGCUCGCGACUUGCAGUUCCACUCUAGGGACAGAAACUGGAGCUGCUGGGACCGAUGUUGGGAAGUUCUGUAGCGCAUACAAAAAGUAUCUAACUUGCCUCAAGGAUGCAGGAUGCAGCACCGACCCUUCGAUUAAAUCAGCUUUUGACACGGCCAACACAUACAUAAAAAACUCUUGUAGCAGCGGCGCCAUGGUAACAGCUUCAGUUUUGGCCAUGUUUCUCACCCUGUUCGUGAUGCUCUUCAAGUGAACAACUUUCUGAAUGGAGCUGACCAAGGAGACAUCCAUCGUUGCCAUGAUAUCUACACUUCAACCACGAUACAUUGAACAAUAGUGAUUUAAUAAAACACAUGGAUGCAUACGUAACUAAUACGUAGAUUGGAUUGUGUAUUUGAUUGUUACGCUUUGUAAUAAACUUUUGAUAGUA